rnacentral:rRNA from 1 species
UACGUAGGGUCCGAGCGUUGUCCGGAUUUAUUGGGCGUAAAGAGCUCGUAGGCGGUUCAGUAAGUCGGAUGUGAAAACUCAGGGCUCAACCCUGAGACGCCAUCCGAUACUGCUGUGACUUGAGUCUGGUAGGGGAGAACGGAAUUCCAGGUGUAGCGGUGAAAUGCGCAGAUAUCUGGAGGAACACCGAUGGCGAAGGCAGGUCUCUGGGCCACUACUGACGCUGAGAAGCGAAAGCAUGGGGAGCGAACAGG